ACCCCUUUUCACUGUAAAGUGGAGUUGUCGGCUUAUGACUUGCUCAUAUCCGAUCAAAUGGAUUAGGUCUGGAUCAGGCUGGUGGCCUGAGACACUGUGUGCUAGAGACUAGCAGUCUUAACCGACGGUCUGUCUUCUCACGGUGCGUCUCGGGUCAUUCAAAGCUGGCCUGCCAAGGACCUUAACUGCGCAUAGCCAUCAAGGCUAUAGCAAACCCCCCCUCU
rnacentral:misc_RNA from 1 species